rnacentral:rRNA from 1 species
GAUGAACGCUGGCGGCGUGCCUAAUACAUGCAAGUCGAGCGAACAGACGAGGAGCUUGCUCCUCUGACGUUUGCGGAGGACGGGUGUGUAACAUGUGGAUAACCUACCUAUAAGACUGGGAUAACUUCGGGACACCGGCGCUAAUACCGGAUAAUAUCUUGAACCGUAGGGUUCAAUAGUGAAAGUCGGUUUUGGUGUCACUGAUAGAUGGAUCCGAGCCGGUUUGGCUGGUUGGUACGGUAACGGCUUAUCAAGGCGACGAUGCGUAGCCGAGCUGAGAGGCGGAUCGGCCACACUGGAACUGAGACACGGUCCAUACGCCUACGGUAGGCAGCAGUAGGGAAUCUGCCGCAAUGGGCGGAAACCUGACACAGCGGCGCCGCGUGAGUGAUGAAGGUCUCCGGAUCGUAAAACUCUGUUAUUAGGGAAAAACAAAUUUGUAAGUAACUAUGCACGGCUUGACGGUACCUAAUCAAAAAGCCACGGCUAACUACGUG